rnacentral:rRNA from 1 species
CGUAACAAGGUUUCCGUAGGUGAACCUGCGGAAGGAUCAUUGUCGAACCUCUGCUCCGCAAACGACCCGCGAACACGUUCGUACACACGACCGGGGCGGGAGCGGGCGCGAGAACGUCCCCCCGCCCCGUUCCCCCUGCCCCGUGGGGGAUCCGCGCGGCUCGGCCGAGCGCCGUCCCGCGGCGAUCCCACCGGUCGGACAACGCACCCCGGCGCGGAACGCGCCAAGGAAACAUUACACAGAAGCGAUCCCCCCCCUUCGGCCCGGUCACCGGGCCCCUGGGGGGGCCGUCGUGGUUGGUUUACCCAAACCUAAACGACUCUCGGCAACGGAUAUCUAGGCUCUCGCAUCGAUGAAGAACGUAGCAAAAUGCGAUACUUGGUGUGAAUUGCAGAAUCCCGUGAAUCAUCGAGUCUUUGAACGCAAGUUGCGCCCGAAGCCACCAGGCCGAGGGCACGCCUGCCUGGGCGUCUCGCACUAAGUCGCCGCCCGCCCCCUCCUCCCUACGGGGGAGAGGGGGCCGGGGGCGGACAUUGGCCUCCCGUGGACGCUCGCGCGCGCGGCUGGCCCAAAAACGGUCCCGGGGCGACUCGCGCCACGACAAUCGGUGGUCUCACACGAGCUCCCGUCGUGCGCCGGGCGUCGCCCCCGGCAUCGUCCCUCCCCGAGGGAAGGCCCGAGACACUCGAUCGUGACCCCAGGUCAGGCGGGACCACCCGCUGAGUUUAAGCAUAUCAAUAA